GAUGAACGCUGGCGGCGUGCCUAAUACAUGCAAGUCGAGCGAACGGACGAGAAGCUUGCUUCUCUGAUGUUAGCGGCGGACGGGUGAGUAACACGUGGAUAACCUACCUAUAAGACUGGGAUAACUUCGGGAAACCGGAGCUAAUACCGGAUAAUAUUUUGAACCGCAUGGUUCAAAAGUUAAAGACGGUCUUGCUGUCACUUAUAGAUGGAUCCGCGCUGCAUUAGCUAGUUGGUAAGGUAACGGCUUACCAAGGCAACGAUGCAUAGCCGACCUGAGAGGGGGAUAGGACACAAUGGAAAUGAGACACGGUACAGACGCCUAAGAGAGGAAGCAGAAGGAAAUCUUCCGCAAUGGGCGAAAGCCUGACGGAGCAACGCCGCGUGAGUGAUGAAGGUCUUCGGAUCGUAAAACUCUGUUAUUAGGGAAGAACAUAUGUGUAAGUAACUGUGAACAUCUUGACGGUACCUAAUCAGAAAGCCACGGCUAACUACGUG
rnacentral:rRNA from 1 species